AGUGAACGCUGGCGGUAGGCCUAACACAUGCAAGUCGAACGGCAGCACAGUAAGAGCUUGCUCUUACGGGUGGCGAGUGGCGGACGGGUGAGGAAUACAUCGGAAUCUACUUUUUCGUGGGGGAUAACGUAGGGAAACUUACGCUAAUACCGCAUACGACAUACGGGUGAAAGCAGGGGAUCUUCGGACCUUGCGCGAUUGAAUGAGCCGAUGUCGGAUUAGCUAGUUGGCGGGGUAAAGGCCCACCAAGGCGACGAUCCGUAGCUGGUCUGAGAGGAUGAUCAGCCACACUGGAACUGAGACACGGUCCAGACUCCUACGGGAGGCAGCAGUGGGGAAUAUUGGACAAUGGGCGCAAGCCUGAUCCAGCCAUACCGCGUGGGUGAAGAAGGCCUUCGGGUUGUAAAGCCCCUUUGUUGGGAAAGAAAAGCAGCAGGUUAAUACCCCGCUGUUCUGACGGUACCCAAAGAAUAAGCACCGGCUAACUUCGUG
rnacentral:rRNA from 1 species